rnacentral:tRNA from 1 species
UCCCUGGUGGCUCAGUGGCUAAAGAAUCUGCCUGAAACGCAGGAAACCUGGGUUCAACCCCUGGGUUGGGAA